CCGACGGUGAGGGGCGAAAGCUGGGGGAGCAAACCGGAUUAGAUACCCGGGUAGUCCCAGCCGUAAACGAUGUGCGUUAGGUGUAUCGGUGACCACGAGUCACCGAGGUGCCGAAGAGAAAUCGUGAAACGUACCGCCUGGGAAGUACGGUCGCAAGGCUGAAACUUAAAGGAAUUGGCGGGGGAGCACCACAACAGGUGGAGCCUGCGGUUUAAUCGGACUCAACGCCGGGAAACUCACCAGAUAAGACAGCUGAAUGAUAGUCGGGCUGAGGACUCUACUUGACUAGCUGAGAGGAGGUGCAUGGCCGUCGUCAGUUCGUACUGUGAAGCAUCCUGUUAAGUCAGGCAACGAGCGUGACCCACGCCAACAGUUGCU
rnacentral:rRNA from 1 species